AGGGAUGUUCACAUUAGAGAUGGUGAUAUAUGGGAAAACACUCUGAGAAAACUAGAAGAGGCUGUUUCAUAUAAUUCAGUUUAUUCUUAUCUGUGGACCAACGUUCCUAGACUAUAUGAAAUCGUCGACAGCAUGGAGUCAAAGUUAAAGGAAUGUUCACAUCUUUUGCAACAGCAUGCCUCCAGAUUAUUUGAAAGUGACAGACUGAUCUCCAAGAAAAGGACAUAUACAAACCUGGACCGCUACAAGGCAUUUCUAAAAGAACACUAUAGGCGAAAGAAGAUAGUGCUUUCAGAUCAAAUGGAGACAGAGAAGAAUAUAGAGGGUUGCACCUUUUUACUCAAACAAAAUGAGCUGACACAAUUACCCAGACAUUUGGAUGCUAAACAGAUUUAUCUUUAUGUUUUAAGAACCCAUAACCUUGAGGAAAAGGUAUUUAAAGUCUGGAAAACCCACAUUCUCUCAGACUGCUCCAUUGCUCUUUUGCAUGACUGCUUUUGGUGGUGGUUUCUGCAUAAAUUCAAGGUAAAUGGCAUUUUAAAACUAUGUAAAACAUUGAUUUGCAGCACAACUAUUUUUUCAGUACAGGUAAUGUUAAUACAAUUUUUUACACUGAGGAAAUUUUAAGCUUUCAUUCCUCACAAACUUUUGAAUCCUAUUUAAACUUUCUUCUUUCACAGUAAUAAAGAUUUCAAUAAAG
rnacentral:lncRNA from 1 species